rnacentral:rRNA from 1 species
UACGGAGGGAGCUAGCGUUGUUCGGAAUUACUGGGCGUAAAGCGCACGUAGGCGGCUUUGUAAGUUAGAGGUGAAAGCCCGGGGCUCAACCCCGGAAUUGCCUUUAAGACUGCAUCGCUUGAAUCCGGGAGAGGUGAGUGGAAUUCCGAGUGUAGAGGUGAAAUUCGUAGAUAUUCGGAAGAAAACCAGUGGCGAAGGCGGCUCACUGGACCGGUAUUGACGCUGAGGUGCGAAAGCGUGGGGAGCAAACAGG